AGCAUAUGUGAAAACAAACAUGGAAGGAAUUAUUGCAGGCAACAAUAAUUCAAUGUUUACCAUAAACAGAAAAUGCUUCAAAUUGAUCUUAGAUAAAUAAUCCUUCCCUUCCAUUUUCUUUACUUGCAUCCACAUCAGUUUGGAUUUGAAGGUGAAAUCUCUUUCUCAAGCAGCUUUGCAUGCUAA